rnacentral:misc_RNA from 1 species
CAAAGCUCGAUUGAUAAAGGUCAGACUCACGUUAUUGCUGCCCUUAUUGACAUGAAUGCCAAGUGUGGGAACAUGGAUAGAGCAAAAAAGUUGUUUGAAGAGAUGCCUAAACGAGAUCUGAUUUCAUAUUGUUCUAUGAUACAAGGAUUGUCCAUUCAUGGGUGUGCCGAAGAGGCCGUUGGAUUAUUCAAUAGGAUGCUAAAUGAGAGAUUAAUUCCUGAUGAGGCGGCAUUUACUGUCAUUUUGGCAGCUUGCAGCCGAGGGGGGC